UACAUGUAAAUAUGUUGUGUAUCUUUAUCAAUAUUAUACAACAUGCAAGCAUAAUUAUGUGAAGUUUAAUUAUUCAUUUUUAAUAGCGAUCUUAAACAGUACAGUAAGUAUGCAGUUCGAAAGUUUAGUGGACUUGAUCCGUUACUAAGUAUGAAAAACAUCCUCUGUUCAAGAAAAUCAAAUUGUGGUAUCCCCUUAACGAAACCGUCCUGCAACGAAAUUUUCAGGGCUUUGACGAUGAUACGGAAUAAUCAGGAACUCCAGGGUACAUGGAUCCAUCGUGCUUUAUCUCCAAGGUAUGAAUUCGACUGAAAUAUCUCUUACGCUUUACAGUUAUCCACGCACGGACGUCAAUCUGCUCUUUUAAUGCGUACCUAGUACCUACCUACUACCUAUAGGUACUUGAAGAAGUUGAAAAGAAUAAAUAUGUAUCUAAAUAAAAAAUUGUUAUUGGAAAAGUGAUGGUCAGAAACAGGAUUUCUAAAUUCCAACAGUUCUUCUUACUCUGUUAUUCCUAUUCCUGCUAUCCUGCUAUUGUAAUAGGUACUUAUGUACUUAUUUUUAAAAAUUCCCGAUAAAACUAAGUUCAUGUUUUUUGUUGCCAAAACAUUGAAAAACUGAUGAUUUUUGUUUCAAGUAAGUAAUAACCAAUACAUUGUGGCGAUCUUCUUAUCGCCUUUCCACUUAUCCGGAUGGUAAAAAAAGCUCUUGAGGAAGAAAAUCUGCGUCUGAAGGAAAGAAUAAAAUAAUUACUGGCCGACCAAAACAUGGAUCUGAAAAAGGACUCGUCGACCUCGAGAGACAACAGAUGCUAGCCCUUGCCGAGAAACAACGAUGUCCAUUGAUAAUUAACAAUUUAAAAAACCAGAAUGGAUCAAGUUCCACUAAUGAAUCUCUAUCAUCCGCCGAGUGAGAAUUGGCAGGUCCUGCCACUACCACCCACCCACAAUUUAUAUAUCCAGCAUUACACGUCCGACCUUUCUACGAUGGAGACAAUUGCUGGUUUAUAUUUUUGCCAUUACGAUGUGACAAUACCAAUAAUUUUUUUAUGGAAUUUUUUAUAUAAAUAAUUUUUUUUUUUAAUUUUUGAUGUUUUUUUUUCCUGUUUUACUUAAUUAAGUAAGUAUAUUAUUUUUAAUUUUUAGAUUAAAUUUAUUUAGUUUCAGAAGAACUGAGGGAAUAUUUUCGCCAAAAUUGCACACAUCAUCUGACAUCUCCGAGUUAUCAAUCUCAGUCAAAUGGGCAAAGUGCUAUUAAGUAGUACUCGGCGGAUUAUUUAUCUUCACGAAGUUGAGACCAUCAUAUUUGUAUAUUACUGAUAAGGCUGGUUACGCUACGUCAUAUCGAUUAUUAACCAAUCAAGAGCGAGUAUUAUUUUUUAUAUUUUAUUCAAUUUUUUCUAUAAAUUCAAUUUUUCAUCUCUACGAGAUUUGAUAUUACUUAGAAGAAUUUUGUUAUAUUAUUUCUAUUAUUUCUAGUCAUUUGUUUAUUAUUUACAACGAGUAUAAUUUUUUC